UACGUAGGGUGCAAGCGUUAUCCGGAAUUAUUGGGCGUAAAGAGCUCGUAGGCGGUUUGUCGCGUCUGCUGUGAAAGACCGGGGCUCAACUCCGGUUCUGCAGUGGGUACGGGCAGACUAGAGUGAUGUAGGGGAGACUGGAAUUCCUGGUGUAGCGGUGAAAUGCGCAGAUAUCAGGAGGAACACCGAUGGCGAAGGCAGGUCUCUGGGCAUUAACUGACGCUGAGGAGCGAAAGCAUGGGGAGCGAACAGG
rnacentral:rRNA from 1 species